UAACUGAGAGAGAAUAAUUGAUGUAUUUAUGUUCUAUUACCUCUCUCUGAGUUGGAAUUAUUGUCCUGUAUGUGUUUGUAUUGCUGUUGUAUUUGAUUAGCAAAGCUUUUGUAUAUCAGGUAAUGUAUAUAUAAUUGUAUUACCUCUCUGUGUGAGAACUUUCUACUGUAUGUCCUGACGUUACAUAAUGUAAGGAACUCCUUUCAGAUUAUCACCAGAACCAGAUAUUCAGACGGGCGCCUUCUUGACCUGGUACAGCGAGAGGUCACACAAGAAUAGCAGAUAAAGAUUGUGCCAGACUCCCGUCAAAUAUGGAACAAAAUUUCACAGGAAAACUACUUCAAAUUUUAAAAGAAAACCAGAACAAGAAGAUGAUAUGGCCAAGACAAAAGUAUCAGGAGGUUGUUUGUGUAUUAAAAGGACUCCAGAAGAAGACAUCUAUGAGAGACUACUACUACCACAAAAGGUUUGAGGUGCUCAGAUGGGGUGAGAUUGAAGUACUUAUAAAGAAACGGAAGAGUGAGGAUGAACCUAUCAUCUUCUUUGUUUGUGCCGAAGAUGUUUUCAAGGUUGUCCAGCAAGCUCAUAUUAUUACAGGACAUGGGGGAAGAGACAAAAUGUUAAAAGAGAUAAACAAGAAAUAUGCAAACAUUACCAAGGAAGUCGUUACUCUUUUCAAAGAGUUUUGCGAAGAAUGCCAUUUCAAGAUCCAUUAUGGCACUAAUAACUAAAAAUAAAACAAAGGUCUACUAACUGUCCAUGGAGGCGAGGUCCUUAUAUGUAUCUAUACUUAAGCUGAAAAGUAACUCCUUCUUGUCCCUCAAUGAAACAAAUUAAAAAAUAUAAAAUACAAAUAAUAAUAAUCAUCCAGUAAAGCUAUGGUAUUAGUCUUUUAGUUCAGGUCAGUGAUAUUCAGAUUGUAAUUUUACAUUGGACAUUAAGACAAGUUGCUCUACUAAAUAUUGUCUUUGUCAACAGUCAGAGCAACUAUGUAAUAGUUAAUGCUACCCAAACUUGAUUUAACUUUUUUUAGAUUGAUCUGAUUUUCUUAAAAUUUACCUUUGUUACCUUAUAACUUGUUAUUCCACGGUGCUAUUAUUUUUUUAUUUGUUUCUAAUAUUCCAUUAAAAAAAUAAGCAAAAUUAAUUCUGAAAUUAAAUUUAAUGUUUUUUUUUUCAAAACUAAAUUUUUUUUAACAAAUAGAUCAUAUUCAAUGCGUACUUCAAUUUAUAUUUUGUAAAAUGCCUGAAAGGCCAGACUUUUAUAAAAUGUCCAAAGUCUUCAGGAAUAUGAUAAAAUACCUGAUUUUACAAAUACCUGUAACAUAUACACUACACUACAGCUGAUGUUCAGUGUCAACUUAAACAUUACUAUUUAUGAAAAAUAUAAUGGAUAUAAAUUCCCGAUGAUAAGCUUUAAAAAGAGAUUUGCCUCAGAAUGAUCUUAGUUUUAUACGUACAGUACUAUACAUAUUACUACAAGAUACACUAGUUUAUUUAUGUCUCACUUCUUCUGGGAAUAAGAGUUUAAAAAAUGAGUAAACCAUAGUUUAUUCAGUCUUCACAUUAAUAUUCCAAUAAAUUAUAUGUUGUCACCUCCGUCUUUCUUCUUUCAGCUGUAAAAUACUGGACAAAAUGCCUAACUACACUGAAACCAGCGAUAGUGUCAAACAAUUCAAAAUUAGAGCUAAAAAGUAGACAGCUAAUGAAUUUACAGCAAGAGAAGAGAGUGAUUUUGAAUAUUACUAAUCACUGUAUAUUGAAUGGUGGAAGUGAUCCAUCAUUCUCAGAUAGUCUAAAUGCAGUGUGAUACUUGUUAUAUUAUUGAUCGGUAUCCGCCUGAGCAGCGAACCCUAUACUGUAGAUAAGCUUCUGAUGGCUUUGUUGUCUAUCCAUGGUCGAAUCGACGGCACUGUCUAGGUACAGUCACCCAAAAAAGUCCUGUCGCGAACCAUGAACCCCGAGAUUCAGACUCUUGAAUCCGAAGCAUUUUGGACAGAAUAACAGUGUCUACUGCUCCGGGUUCACGAGUCAGAAUCGUGGUUCGGGACAGGACUUUUUUGGGUGACUGUACAUUGUCUGCAUGCCUUCACUGUCUAUGAAUAUUGUAUACCUCUCAUUGUUUAUGUACAGUCACCCAAAAAAGUCCUGUCGCGAACCACGAUUCAGACUCGUGAACCCGAAGCAGUAAACACUGAUACAUUAUUCUGUCCAUAAAUGCUUCGGAUUCAAGAGUCUGAAUCUCGGGGUUCAUGGUUCGCGACAGGACUUUUUUGGGUGACUGUACAGUCCCCUUCACUAGUGCUUUUAUAGGGGCUUGUCAGGUUUUGUGCGGUGUGGCAGCCCUGUGUUUGUUUACAUUCAACAGAAGGAAACUCGCAAUAGUAAAAAUACUAUAGAAUCAAAUAAAAACGAUUUUAAAACAAAUAUCUCAAAGAUAAAAAUUUGUGGAAUGUUUAUAUGAGGAGCCCCUGUAAACGCACGAGAGAAGGGGACUGUGCAGGCUGAACCAAUGUAAGCUUGUAUGACUAUUUUACUGCAUAAAUCUCUACCUAUGUAUGUAUGUAUGUAUAAUCUUAGCGUGGCAACAUGAUUCAUUUAUGUAUUUAUGGCGUUGACUCCAAUAUUGUAAAUAUCUCAUUGACGUAUGGAUAAAACUUCCCUUUCUGA